rnacentral:rRNA from 1 species
GAUGAACGCUGGCUACAGGCUUAACACAUGCAAGUCGUGGGGAAACGGCAUUAUGUGCUUGCACAUUCUGGACGUCGACCGGCGCACGGGUGAGUAUCGCGUAUCCAACCUGCCCCUUACUUGGGGAUACCCCGUCGAAAGACGGCCUAAUACCCGAUGUGUUUCAUUGACGGCAUCCGAUAUGAAACAAAGGUUUUCCGGUAAGGGAUGGGGAUGCGUCUGAUUAGCUAGUUGGCGGGGCAACGGCCCACCAAGGCGACGAUCAGUAGGGGUUCUGAGAGGAAGGUCCCCCACAUUGGAACUGAGACACGGUCCAAACUCCUACGGGAGGCAGCAGUGAGGAAUAUUGGUCAAUGGACGCAAGUCUGAACCAGCCAAGUAGCGUGCAGGAUGACGGCCCUAUGGGUUGUAAACUGCUUUUAUGUGGGAAUAAAGUGGCGCACGUGUGCGCCAUUGCAUGUACCUCAUGAAUAAGGACCGGCUAAUUCCGUGCCAGCAGCCGCGGUAAUACGGAAGGUCCGGGCGUUAUCCGGAUUUAUUGGGUUUAAAGGGAGUGUAGGCGGUCUGUUAAGCGUGUUGUGAAAUUUAGGUGCUCAACAUUUAACUUGCAGCGCGAACUGUCAGACUUGAGUACACGCAGCGCAGGCGGAAUUCAUGGUGUAGCGGUGAAAUGCUUAGAUAUCAUGAGGAACUCCGAUCGCGAAGGCAGCCUGCGGGAGUGUUACUGACGCUUAAGCUCGAAGGUGCGGGUAUCGAACAGG